CUUUAUUAUUUUUUUACAUUUUAUGUAUAUUUAUCUAUACAUGAAUGCAUUUGAAUAUAUAUUAAAUAGUUUAAAUCAUAAUACUAAUCUACAUUUCAAACAGUGUGCCCAUCUGAUACAUAUUUUCUGCAUAGCUAUACUUACAGGAAUAUGGAUUUAAUAUGGCUGCAUAAGUUUGCAUGUUAUAUACAAUGCUUAUGAUAAUGCUUCUCAAACUCCUCCCAUGUUGGUGACCUGAGUGGUGUAGACUACAGGACUCAUUUCCCAUAGCCUGCAUAGAGGACCGACACGUUUGAAUUAUGGUCAGACACAAGGAUCAAACCCACAGCCCCUCCCCCAUCUCCCCCCACUCGCUCAGGACCGUAGAAAUGGAAGAAAUGAAUUCACCUGUCUCAGCCACAGCAAUCUCCAGGAAAAACAGAAAUAUAAAAGUGUCAACUUAGACCAUCCUAUAUUUUUUGGUUAUAGUCAUUAGUACAACACAGAAUACAUCCAUAAACAUCACUUAGCGGUAUUCAUAAAAUAUCCCACAAUAUCCAAGUUAUAGGGAAUCCAUCUUUCUACCAGCAUCUUCAUUGAGUAAAAGGGUCUUCCUUCGUUGUUCACUAGAUAAAAUCCAUUAAAUAAGUCAGGAAAGUUCCAGGAAUAUUCUUUUAAGGUAUACAAGAUCUCCAGAUGUGCCUAGAAUUGUCUGCCUGUAAGAUGAACACCAGGCAUGAAUGGGCCAAUGGACCUUCCGAUAAAAGAUUGUUCCAUAUAUACAUAUAGGUGAUCAGGAUAGGGCAGGAAAUCUGGCCCUGCAGGCAGAUGGUUAUGCUUCCCCUAAGCUUGCAUCUCUUCUCUGACAGCCUUCGGCGAAGCCCGAAAACCCUUUAUAAUAACCAGCUCUGUCCCCCUUUCAUAUCACAUGAUUUCGGUUCACCUGGAACGAACAAAGAGCGUACACACAAAGACAAGCCGAAAAUCAAGAAAAAAAAGAUCCAUG